GAUCCCUGUGGCAAGUCUUUAUCUCAAGGUAUCUCUUAGGAGGACUUAAGACAGGAUGUGGUUCACUUACCUGAGCGCUAGGAUGGAGCCUCCGAGUUUUUCUCCUUUCCUGCUAUUGAUUUUAGUAGAAAACAGACCUUCCCUGCUUACAGGCUACCUGGGCAGCAGCAACGGACACUACAUCUACAGCUUGAAGAGACUGCAGCUGUGGAAGUAACACUCCAGAGAUUAGACAGGUCAGAAGGACCAAAUUAGAUGGUACAGAGGGAAUUUGAACAGAAGUGCCCUUCUACCUCUGCACGCCAACCACAAUCAAGCAGGAGCCUGGCGGGGAGGAAUCACGCUGUCAUGAUGCAGUAAAACAUUGUGAAGAGCACAGCAAGCCACAAUAAUGCAGACAGCAUUGAUAACACUUGAAUCCAAACAGUUCUGUAAAUAGCACCAGCAAGAUUUUAAUUGGCCAAAUGCACAUUC